CAAGAAUAGCAGCAGCAGCUAUCCCAACAACACCUGUUCCUGAACCCAGUUCGAGAAUACGAAGGGGUAGCGAAACCCCUUUUUCCUGACGUUUGAACAAAUCGGAAAACGGAGUUGAUUCGCCGUUACGAGUGUUAUCAAGGAGAGUGACGAGAAUAGUAGCGGCAGGCCAGAGUUGGAAAGAAAGGCCUUCAGAUGGAAGUUGUCUGAUGACUACGUUUGAGUUAAUGGAUUGGAGGAAAUGGAGUUGCUGUUUUUGCUGCUGCGGAGAGGCGUCAUUGUCAUGGCCAUCUUGUGGGAGAAUCAUAGUGAACGGAUUGAGGUCGUCCGUGUCAAUGUCUCCUUUGAUUUCGACAAUUGGAGAAGUCAUGUGACAGGCGGCGGCGAUUCCGG
rnacentral:misc_RNA from 1 species